GCAGGGUUCAGAUGAGGGCUGGGUCUACAGCCAAGUGUGGGAGAGCUGGUGAAAGCCUUGAGAGAGGCAGAGACUGGCCAGCCUCACCCUGCAUUCCCAAUCCCCUCCUCUUUGUCAAAAUCUUACUCUCAGCAUGGUGCCAUUACCUUUAAUGGCAAAAACUGCAAUUAUUUUUGCACCAACCUAAAUACUUUUGCACCGCCAGGAGAUCUCCUGCCAUCUAUUCAGUCUUCCAUCCCGCUCUCUGGGGCUUUAUUCUUUCUGUUCUUUCUGCUUCUUGCUGCGCACGGUGCCCCCACCUCCUGUGGCUGAAAUGCUGCCC
rnacentral:lncRNA from 10 species